CGCGGGGUAGAGCAGUCUGGUAGCUCGUUGGGCUCAUAACCCAAAGGUCGCUGGUUCAAAUCCGGCCCCCGCAACCA
rnacentral:tRNA from 1 species